rnacentral:rRNA from 1 species
UACGAAGGGGGCGAGCGUUGUUCGGAAUUACUGGGCGUAAAGGGCGCGUAGGCGGCCCCUUUUGUCGCGUGUGAAAGCCCCGGGCUCAACCUGGGAGGUGCGCGCGAAACGGGGGGGCUUGAGUUCGGGAGAGGAGCGUGGAAUUCCCAGUGUAGAGGUGAAAUUCGUAGAUAUUCGGAAGAACACCAGUGGCGAAGGCGACUCACUGGACACGUAUUGACGCUGAGGUGCGAAAGCGUGGGGAGCAAACAGG